rnacentral:rRNA from 1 species
AGAGUUUGAUCCUGGCUCAGGAUGAACGCUAGCGACAGGCUUAACACAUGCAAGUCGAGGGGCAGCGGGGUUGGCAACGACCGCCGGCGACCGGCGCACGGGUGAGUAACACGUAUGCAACCUGCCCGCCACAGGGGGAUAACCGGGAGAAAUCCCGACUAAUACCGCGUACAGCCGGAGGGGGGCAUCCCCCGUCGGUGAGAGCUACGGCGGUGGCGGAUGGGCAUGCGGGGCAUUAGCUAGACGGCGGGGCAACGGCCCACCGUGGCGACGAUGCCUAGGGGUUCUGAGAGGAAGGUCCCCCACACUGGUACUGAGACACGGACCAGACUCCUACGGGAGGCAGCAGUGAGGAAUAUUGGUCAAUGGGCGGGAGCCUGAACCAGCCAAGUCGCGUGAGGGAUGAAGGUCCUAAGGAUUGCAGACCUCUUUUGCCGGGGAGCAACGGCCGCCACGCGUGGCGGAAUGAGAGUACCCGGAGAAAAAGCAUCGGCUAACUCCGUGCCAGCAGCCGCGGUAAUACGGAGGAUGCGAGCGUUAUCCGGAUUUAUUGGGUUUAAAGGGUGCGUAGGCGGACGUUCAAGUCGGCGGUCAAAUGGGCGGGCUCAACCCGUUCGCGCCGUCGAAACUGGGCGACUUGAGUAGGAGAGGGGCACGCGGAAUGCGCGGUGUAGCGGUGAAAUGCAUAGAUAUCGCGCAGAACUCCGAUCGCGAAGGCAGCGUGCCGGCUCCUCACUGACGCUGAAGCACGAAAGCGUGGGGAUCGAACAGGAUUAGAUACCCUGGUAGUCCACGCAGUAAACGAUGA